UACGUAGGGUGCAAGCGUUGUCCGGAAUUAUUGGGCGUAAAGAGCUCGUAGGCGGUCUGUCGCGUCGGGUGUGAAAAUCAGGGCUUAACCCUGGACCUGCAUUCGAUACGGGCAGACUAGAGGUAUUCAGGGGAGAACGGAAUUCCUGGUGUAGCGGUGAAAAUGCGCAGAUAUCAGGAGGAACACCGGUGGCGAAGGCGGUUCUCUGGGAAUGACCUGACGCUGAGGAGCGAAAAGUGUGGGGGAGCGAACAGG
rnacentral:rRNA from 1 species